UGAAAUAAAACACCAUGCAAUUCAAUCC
rnacentral:sRNA from 1 species